UUAGCUCAGUUGGUUAGAGCAGUCGACUCAUAAUCGAUUAGUCACAGGUUCAAGUCCAGUAGG
rnacentral:tRNA from 1 species